rnacentral:rRNA from 1 species
UACGUAGGGUGCGAGCGUUGUCCGGAAUUAUUGGGCGUAAAGAGCUCGUAGGCGGUGUGUCGCGUCGGCCGUGAAAACCUGGGGCUUAACUCUGGGCGUGCGGUCGAUACGGGCAUCACUAGAGUUCGGCAGGGGAGACUGGAAUUCCUGGUGUAGCGGUGAAAUGCGCAGAUAUCAGGAGGAACACCGGUGGCGAAGGCGGGUCUCUGGGCCGAUACUGACGCUGAGGAGCGAAAGCAUGGGUAGCGAACGGG